CAUAUCAAUAAGCGGRGGAAAAGAAACCAACAGGGAUUGCCCUAGUAACGGCGAGUGAAGCGGCAAUAGCUCAAAUUUGAAAGCUGGCUUAUGGCCCGCAUUGUAAUUUGUAGAGGAUGCUUUUAGGCAGCCGCCGGUCUAAGUUCCUUGGAACAGGACGUCAUAGAGGGUGAGAAUCCCGUAUGUGACCGGCUCUGGCACCUUAUGUAAAGCUCCUUCGACGAGUCGAGUUGUUUGGGAAUGCAGCUCUAAAUGGGAGGUAAAUUUCUUCUAAAGCUAAAUACUGGCGAGAGACCGAUAGCGCACAAGUAGAGUGAUCGAAAGAUGAAAAGCACUUUGGAAAGAGAGUUAAAAAGCACGUGAAAUUGUUGAAAGGGAAGCGCUUGCAAUCAGACUUGGACUUGGCUGUUCAACAGGUCUUCUGACCUGCCUAUUCAGUCUUGUCCAGGCCAGCAUCAGUUUCGGCGGCCGGAUAAAGGCCCUAGGAAUGUGGCUUUCCCUUCGGGGGAAGUGUUAUAGCCUAGGGUGUAAUACGGCCAGCUGGGACUGAGGUCCG
rnacentral:rRNA from 1 species